AGGAUGAACGCUGGCGGCGUGCCUAACACAUGCAAGUCGAACGUCCUGUCUCGCAAGAGGCAGGGAGUGGCGGACGGGUGAGUACCACGUGGGUUAUCUACCGUGAGGUGAGGAAUACCGGCGAGAAAUCGCCGACAAGACCGCAUAGGCUCGAUGCAAGUCGAGCAAAGCUCUCUCGAGAGAGGGAGCGCCACACGAGGAGCCUGCGCCCGAUUAGCUAGCUGGUGGAGUAACGGUUCACCAGGGCGACGAUCGGUAGCUGGUCUGAGAGGACGAUCAGCCACACUGGGAUUGAGAACGGCCCAGACUCCUACGGGGGGCAGCAGUGAGGAAUUUUCGUCAAUGGGGGCAACCCUGAACGAGCAACGCCGCGUGCAGGAAGAAGGUUUUCGGAUCGUAAACUGCUUUUCUCGGGAAGAGAACGGACGGUACCCGAGGAAUCAGCCCCGGCUAACUACGCGCCAGCAGCCGCGGU
rnacentral:rRNA from 1 species